AGCGUAGGCGGAUUUUUAAGUGAGAUGUGAAAUACUCGGGCUUAACCUGAGUGCUGCAUUUCAAACUGGAAGUCUAGAGUGCAGGAGAGGAGAAGGGAAUUCCUAGUGUAGCGGUGAAAUGCGUAGAGAUUAGGAAGAACACCAGUGGCGAAGGCGCUUCUCUGGACUGUAACUGACGCUGAGGAGCGAAAGCGUGGGGAGCGAACA
rnacentral:rRNA from 1 species